AAAAUUAAUUUGAAUAAAUAAACGAAAUAAAAAUAUCGUUAUCAUGCAUGAGUUUGAGAUAAAUGUUAAGAAAUUGACAAUUUGAAUAAAGAAAAUAAGAAAAAAGAGACUCAAUCAUGCAUGAGCUUUGCUUGGAGCUACUUGAAAGACCUUGCACCUAAGCUACUCUAGCUCUCUAUAAAUUCUAACUCUUCUUCACCGAAUGCAACGCGCAUCAAACAGAUAUAUAGCUUUGAAAACAACAAAAUGAAGAUUUCAUUAGCAACAACACUCUCUUUCCUUAUCCUUGCCUUGGCCUCAAACUCUUUGUUGGUCUUGGGCACCUCAUCAGUUCCUGAACCUCUCCUUGAUGUCCACGGAAACAAGGUCGAAUCCACCCUUAAGUACUACAUAGUCUCAGCCAUCUGGGGAGCUGGCGGUGGUGGAGUUAGCCUACACGGUGGCAGAAACGGAUAUUGUCCGCUGGACGUUAUCCAGUUACCUUCUGAUAUGCAAAAUGGAAUCGAAUUAACACUGUCACCGUAUAACAAUUCUACAAUUGUCCGAGAAUCCACUGAUCUCAACUUGAGAUUCUCAGUGUUGCUAUCUGGACGUGACUAUUGUAACGAACAACCGUUGUGGAAAGUUGAUAAUUAUGACGCGGCAUCAGGCAAAUGGUUUAUAACAACCGGGGGACUUGAUGGUCACCCUGGAGCUGAAACUUUGCUAAAUUGGUUUAAGCUUGAGAAAAUUGGAAAUUUUCCAGGUAUAUACAAAAUCGUUCAUUGUCCAUCCGUUUGCGAGUCUUGUGUCAAACUCUGCAACAACGUUGGCCGUUCGUUUGAGGAUGGCGUUCGACGUCUGGUUCUGGUUCGUGAUGAUGAGCCGGCAUUUCCUGUUGUGUUAAUUCCCGCUACAGAAAGAUCAACGUCUGUGUAAUCAAUGUACCCUAACCAGCUAGCGGUAUUAUUAUUCUAAAUAACGGACCAGGCUAGCUGCUCUUUAAUCUCUAGGAUUAAAAUUAUGAAUAAGUACCCUGUGAUCCUUUCGGGGUUAAUAAAUUCUACUGUUGGUGUAUACCUUAUGAAAAUCGAAAUCAAGUGUUCUUUGUUUUGAUUCACUGCUUCUUUUUUCUUUUCUUCUUUUUGGAAUUCUGUUUCUUGCCAUUAAUGGUGAUCAUUAAUUAGAGGUUAAAGCCACGUCUUGAUACUGAUCAUCGCAAGCUUGAAUAAGAGUGGAAAAUGCAAAAAGUCAGGUGAUUGAUUAUUUUGCCGACUAAUGUUUUAAUGGAUAAGCACCGACAAACUCUGUGGCAAAGAUUAAAUCACGAGUUUCUUAUUGUUACAUAUGCGUGUGUGUACAGUGGCGAAGCUCGCAUAUUUUUUUGGGUGGACUAUACUUUUUAAAAAAAUGAAAUUUAUUUCUUAAAAAAUUUGUUUUAUACAAACGAAAUUAAGCACACUACAUAACCAAAAAUCUAACCAUAAAACUACAAAAAAUAUAAUGUAAAUAAGAAAAAAAUUAUCAAAUAUUAAAUUUGUUUGUUUUUAUUUUUUAUAAAUAUUAAAAAAAUAAAUUUAUAAAUUAUAAUUUUUUUAAAAAAAAGCUAACCCGGGCCGCACCUUUAGCUUCGCCCCUGUGUGUGUAUGUAUGUAUGUAUGCAUUUUAUGUUAAUAAAUUUAUCUUGUUUCUUGAGGUUUACUUUAAAAAAAAACUGCGCACAAAAGUAUUAAUAAUUUGAAAGGGCGCGAUUCCUCAAAUUAUGAGGGAAAACAAAUUAUUAAUUAGCACAAAAAUAAAAAAUUGUGUGUGUGUGUGUGUGUGUGUACGCAUAUGUACAAGCGUUUACACGGCUAAGCUUUCAACUUCAAUUUAUUUUGAAUUUUUUGCUUUAUAGUUUCUUCAAUCUUCAAUUUAAUCUCAGUUAUUGAUUAAGAAAAAUUGAUCAUCAAUGAAUAUAAAAAUUAUUUCACUCAGCUUUUACCAAUCAACCAUUGUUUUUAAAAUUAUUAAGAAGAUAAAAAAAAAUUCAUCAAUCCACCUUUUUUUUUUCCUUAUUUUUGGAAUAAAAUGGAAUAAGUUGAGGAUUACAAUUGUUUGAGACAUAUUUUAAAGAUCAUCAUUGUAUGAAGAGGGUAAUCCACAAUUUACCCCUCAAACAAUUGCUGAAAUUUAGCAUUUGAUCUCAUAAAUGAAUAAAAGUAAAAUUUACCUUACUCAUGUCAUUGCUUAAGAGAUUUAAAAUAACUUCAAUUUUUUUUUUUUUUUUGACUUAGUGCUCUCACCUUCAUAUUUAUGUGCAUAUUUAAGAUUUCCUUGGAUGAAAAGCAAUGCUUCUUGUGGCUAUAAUAUUUUGGGAUGGAAGAGCGUAAAAUAAGGAUAGAUAACUUUCUCUUUAAUUCCUAGGGUCUAUGCUAGUUUUAGUCUUUGUAUUUUCAAAAAAUCAUCCAAAACUUCUUGGUUGUUAGUCUCUCAUAGUUGGAUUUACUUUAAUUAGAUAAAAUGGUAGUUUUGUUAUAAUAAAACUUAAAAUUCAAAUAAAUUUUACGUGAUACAUUUUGAAACAUAUAGAAAUAAUAAGCGUAAUUUAACAACCUAAGGGUACUUGACAUUCUAUUUGGGUAACCACUCGAAUUCGAGUCUUGGGGAGGUAAGAACUAGUGCAUAUCAUGUAGUAAUCUUUAUUUUUACCAUAUGUUAUAUUAUAAUAGCCAAAAUUGAAUAGGAUAGUUUUACAAUGUGAAGGGGGAGAGUGAGAGAAAGAAAUGUUAGGACAAUAAUAUCUUGGUGAAAACUAUCACUUACAAUUUAGGAACAUUCAUGUUGUAUUGCCAAGAAUCAAUAAUAAAAAUAUGCGAAAGCAUAUCUGAAUCAAUAAUGCAUGAUUAUUCUGUAAAGUCAUAGUUAGCCUUCCAAAUCAAAACUUUCUUCUAGAGAAUCCUUUAAUUUUCUUUGUACACUCUUUUUGAUGAUAGGAUGUUGUUGUGCAAAUUUUAUUGAACUCGCAAGCGCACAAAUCUAUUGUAGAAUAGACUAAUGGUGACGAGUGUCGAUCUUACGAGGAGAUGGAUUUUAAUUGUGUAUAAAAUUAAUUUUGUAAAUGGGUGGUUGGAUCUCUGGUGAAAUUGAUUUAGAAUAUUCUAAAACAAAAAAAUAUUUUCAUACUUUUAAAUUUUUAUUAUGAUUUAGUAAAAUAUUUUCGUAUUAGAAAAAAAUUCUAAUUUCUUAUAGAGGUCAUGACUCUUAUUACAUGAUAAGGUAGUGUCAUCUCACUCGCACAUAAAUGCCGCUCUAAUAUUACAUUGAAGCUCAUGAAUUUAAUUUAUAAUAAAACACCAACUCAAUAAUUACGAGUCAUUUUAAGCUAAUAAUAUUAGCUUACAAAUAUUCUUAGCCAAUGUGUGAUUUUUUCCUUUGCGUAGGACGCGCCAAACCUGGCAAGUGGCAGGUCAUUAUUGAACGGAGAAGGAGAAAGGGACUCUUGAACUUAGAAAAUGGCAAGUCCUCUAUUGUUAGGCCCACCACCUGUUCAUGCCCCCACAAAAUUCUUUUACCUACUGACGACUAUUAGUGCGGAAACAAAUCAUUUUUAUGUAAGUGGCUAGUUAUUUUUCAUUACCAGCUUUAAUUAAUGUCAAAAACGUCAAAACGUCAGAUGAUAUAUUGCCGAUUGGAUAAGUAACCACCAACUCUGUGGCGAAGAUUAAGUCACGAGUUACUUAUUUUUAUUAUCUCUGUUUGUCAAUUUUUUUUUUUAUUUUGUACAUAUUUCCUCGGUUAUCUUUUUUGCAUAUUCUGUGUAUUUACAAAUUGUGAUGUCUAUGGUUUUGUUAUUUCGCACGUUCAAUUGCUGAUGCAUACAUAUAUUCGAGUGUGGACCAUCAUACAAACUAAUAAUUCUCUGAAGUCGCUCUCAUCCAAAUGAAUUGGAGUAUCAGAUACAAAUAAUUGUAAUAAGAUACACAUGAUGAAUACUUUGUAUAAGAUACAAUAAUUUGAUAGUUGAAUUUACACUCUGAGUUGAGUUGUGCUCAUUUUCUCAUAAUUUUUGUGUUUUGUACAUAUUUAUAAUUUGUACCUUUAAGUUUUAAUUACUUUUAUGGUACAUUUAUUAAUUGUUAAUCAGAGUAGAUUUGAAUAAAAAUGAAUUAGAAUAGGAAUGAUAAUUAAGAAUAAAAAUAAAUUAUUUACUUCAGUUAUAGGAAUCAGAAAUGAAAUAAGUAUAUUCUCAUUUAUGUGUUUAACUUAUUAAAAUACCCUUAGUUUAUCAUUGUCAUUAUUUUUAUUAUUUAUUAUAAUAAUUUUCAUUAUUAUUAUUAAAAAUUAUUGCUAAUAAUAAUAACCAUAAUAAUUAUAAUAAUCAUAACAAUAAUAUAUAUUUUUAUCCAAUAAUUAUCAAUUAAAUCUUUUUUAAAAAAUGGGCAAAAUAUUCCGAACUAUAAUCAAAUCUCUUAAAUCUGGCAUUAUUGCCUUUUCGUAAGAAGCCACGGUUCUUUCAAUAUCGACGUACGAAUUUUCAUCUUGUCAAUAUAUUACAGCAUGAUUAUUGUCGUGAAUUAUUAUUUAUUGUACCAUGGCUUUUGCCUUAUAAGUAAGAAUCGUCAUCUUAUGCGACUUUUGAAUAAAUUGUUGUGUGAAUAAAACAAAACAAAAAAGAUAAAUAACUGUUAGCCAUUUCUGGAUUAUAAUUAUCUUCGCAUGUCAAUGUACUACCUAGUUCAAUAUGCGAGGUGAAUUUCAUCCCAUUGUAAUUGCAUAUUCUAGAGGCAGUUGGGUUUAAAAUAUUACGGUUCCACGUCCAUGUAAUUCAAAACUUUGCAGUGGGCCACUUUAUGAAAGAUUAAAAAAGAAAAAGAAAUAAAAGAAAGGAUUUUUCCAAUUUACUUCUUAUAAGAGAUUUGGACGUGUACAAAAAUUUGUUUCUUAUUAAUCGAUCAGAUAUGAUUCUUACCAUAUUUGCAUCGCAAGUAAUUCAAUAUUGCAAUUAACGGAUAAUGAGUAGGAUUUCUUAUUGGAUACUUACCAUCCCCGCCCAGGAUGACAGAAAUUUCAAAACCUUGAUCAAGAUUUGUGAUCCCAUGGCGAUAGUAUUUGGCCCAUAAUUUUGAGUAUUGAAUGUAGGGAAGUUGGAAUUCAAUAUCGAAAUUUAUCUAUUUGAUAAUCAGGAUGACAAAUCCAAGGAUAUUUAAUCAAAUGUUUUUCAAGCAAUUUUAUUUGAUUGAUCACUUGAGUUCAAGUUUUAAAGAAGCAAGAAUUAAAUUAAAAAAUUGAUUGGUACUUUGUCCACCUUUUGCUUUUUUAUUAAAUAAUUUUUUAUGAAAUUUCAGACACUGGAAAAAUCCUAAUCAUGAUCGCAUUUCAACAGAUAACUUUUCCAAUUUUUAGUUAUACGUUAGUUUCUAUUCAAUUUGAUAUUUGUCAAUUAGAUAUUUGGGAAAACAAUUGCACUGGAGAAUGAAUCAUUUUAUUUUGUAUAUAUUUGGGUGUUAAAUGUUUACAUUGGUUAUAAUUUUCGAAAAAUAAAUGUGACUAGAUUAACAAGUGUUUCACAAAAUAUUUCGGAACACAUUUUCUUAAGAAAAAAAAUUUAAGUUCUCAAAAUUAUUAUUCGCUUUAGUUGUUUGCCUUAUGAAACAAUUUUUUUUCCCCUAAAGGCAGACACGAUUAAUUACUUGAUUUUUUUCAAUAUAUUACAUUAGAUAGUAUAAUAAAAAUACUAAUAAAUAGAUACACUACAAAUUGUUUAAUGAAUUCGAACCAACUAUUUUUAUAAUAAAAAUACGAAAAUGGUUUGAAAGAAGUCAAACCAAACAAAACCUAGUUUUAGAACCAAACUAAACCGAAAUAUUUCAUUUCGGUUUGGUUUGGUUCAUAAAUUCGAUAGGUUGCUAUGUUUUAUGGCUCGUCUUCAGAUAGAAGGUUGAAUCACACAGGAAUGCAAGUUCGACACCAAAAAUUAAUUUGAAUAAAUAAACGAAAUAAAAAUAUCGUUAUCAUGCAUGAGUUUGGGAUAAAUGUUAAGAAAUUGACAAUUUGAAUAAAGAAAAUAAGAAAAAAGAGACUCAAUCAAGCAUGAGCUUUGCUUGGAGCUACUUGAAAGACCUUGCACCUAAGCUACUCUAGCUCUCUAUAAAUUCUAACUCUUCUUCACCGAAUGCAACGCGCAUCAAACAGAUAUAUAGCUUUGAAAACAACAAAAUGAAGAUUUCAUUAGCAACAACACUCUCUUUCCUUAUCCUUGCCUUGGCCUCAAACUCUUUGUUGGUCUUGGGCACCUCAUCAGUUCCUGAACCUCUCCUUGAUGUCAACGGCAACAAGGUCCAAUCCACCCUUAAGUACUACAUAGUCUCAGCCAUCUGGGGAGCUGGCGGUGGUGGAGUUAGCCUACACGGUGGCAGAAACGGAUAUUGUCCGCUGGACGUUAUCCAAUUACCUUCUGAUAUGCAAAAUGGAAUCGAAUUAACACUGUCACCGUAUAACAAUUCUACAAUUGUCCGAGAAUCCACUGAUCUCAACUUGAGAUUCUCAGUGUUGCUAUCUGGACGUGACUAUUGUAACGAACAACCGUUGUGGAAAGUUGAUAAUUAUGACGCUGCAUCAGGCAAAUGGUUUAUAACAACCGGGGGACUUGAUGGUCAUCCUGGANNNNNNNNNNNNNNNNNNNNNNNNNNNNNNNNNNNNNNNNNNNNNNNNNNNNNNNNNNNNNNNNNNNNNNNNNNNNNNNNNNNNNNNNNNNNNNNNNNNNACGUCUGUGUAAUCAAUGUACCCUAACCAGCUAGCGGUAUUAUUAUUCUAAAUAACGGACCAGGCUAGCUGCUCUUUAAUCUCUAGGAUUAAAAUUAUGAAUAAGUACCCUGUGAUCCUUUCGGGGUUAAUAAAUUCUACUGUUGGUGUAUACCUUAUGAAAAUCGAAAUCAAGUGUUCUUUGUUUUGAUUCACUGCUUCUUUUUUCUUUUCUUCUUUUUGGAAUUCUGUUUCUUGCCAUUAAUGGUGAUCAUUAAUUAGAGGUUAAAGCUACGUCUUGAUACUGAUCAUCGCAAGCUUGAAUAAGAGUGGAAAAUGCAAAAAGUCAGGUGAUUGAUUAUUUUGCCGACUAAUAUUUUAAUGGAUAAGCACCGACAAACUCUGUGGCAAAGAUUAAAUCACGAGUUUCUUAUUGUUACAUAUGCGUGUGUGUACAGUGGCGAAGCUCGCAUAUUUUUUUGGGUGGACUAUAUUUUUUAAAAAAAUGAAAUUUAUUUCUUAAAAAAUUUGUUUUAUACAAACGAAAUUAAGCACACUACAUAACCAAAAAUCUAACCAUAAAACUACAAAAAAUAUAAUGUAAAUAAGAAAAAAAUUAUCAAAUAUUAAAUUUAUUUGUUUUUAUUUUUUAUAAAUAUUAAUAAAAUAAAUUUAUAAAUUAUAAUUUUUUUAAAAAAAAAACAAACCCGGGCUGCACCUUUAGCUUCGCCCCUGUGUGUGUAUGUAUGUAUGUAUGCAUUUUAUGUUAAUAAAUUUAUCUUGUUUCUUGAGGUUUACUUUAAAAAAAAACUGCGCACAAAAGUAUUAAUAAUUUGAAAGGGCGCGAUUCCUCAAAUUAUGAGGGAAAACAAAUUAUUAAUUAGCACAAAAAUAAAAAAAAACGCAUAUGUACAAGCGUUUACACGGCUAAGCUUUCAACUUCAAUUUAUUUUGAAUUUUUUGCUUUAUAGUUUCUUCAAUCUUCAAUUUAAUCUCAAUUAUUGAUUAAGAAAAAUUGAUCAUCAAUGAAUAUAAAAAUUAUUUCACUCAACUUUUACCAAUCAACCAUUGUUUUUAAAAUUAUUAAGAAGAUAAAAAAAAAAUUCAUCAAUCCACCUUUUUUUUCCUUAUUUUUGGAAUAAAAUGGAAUAAGUUGAGGAUUACAAUUGUUUGAGAUAUAUUUUAAAGAUCAUCAGUGUAUGAAGAGGGUAAUCCACAAUUUACCCCUCAAACAAUUGCUGAAAUUUAGCAUUUGAUCUCAUAAAUGAAUAAAAGUAAAAUUUACCUUGUUCAUGUCAUUGCUUAAGAGAUUUAAAAUAACUUCAAUUUUUAUUUUUUUUUUGACUUAGUGCUCUCACCCUCAUAUUUAUGUGCAUAUUUAAGAUUUCCUUGGAUGAAAAGCAAUGCUUCUUGUGGCUAUAAUAGUUUGGGAUGGAAGGGCGUAAAAUAAGGAUAGAUAACUUUCUCUUUAAUUCCUAGGGUCUAUGCUAGUUUUAGUCUUUGUAUUUUCAAAAAAUCAUCCAAAACUUCUUGGUUGUUAGUCUCUCAUAGUUGGAUUUACUUUAAUUAGAUAAAAUGGUAGUUUUGUUAUAAUAAAACUUAAAAUUCAAAUAAAUUUUACGUGAUACAUUUUGAAACAUAUAGAAAUAAUAAGCGUAAUUUAACAGCCUAAGGGUACUUGACAUUCUAUUUGGGUAACCACUCGAAUUCGAGUCUUGGGGAGGUAAGAACUAGUGCAUAUCAUGUAGUAAUCUCUAUUUUUACCAUAUGUUAUAUUAUAAUAGCCAAAAUUGAAUAGGAUAGUUUUACAAUGUGAAGGGGGAGAGUGAGAGAAAGAAAUGUGAUGACAAUAAUAUCUUGGUGAAAACUAUCACUUACAAUUUAGGAACAUUCAUGUUGUAUUGCCAAGAAUCAAUGAUAAAAAUAUGCGAAAGCAUAUUUGAAUCAAUAAUGCAUGAUUAUUUUGUAAAGUCAUAGUUAGCCUUCCAAAUCAAAACUUUCUUCUAGAGAAUCCUUUAAUUUUCUUUGUACACUCUUUUUUAUGAUAGGAUGUUGUUGUGCAAAUUUUAUUGAACUCGCAAGUGCACGAAUUUAUUGUAGAAUAGACUAAUGGUGACGAGUGUCGACAAUGAAAAUUAUUUAUUUUAAUCAUAAAAAUUUAAAUUAUUAAUUGAAUAUAAGUAAUAAUAAAAUAUAAAUGAAUCUUAUGUUAUUAAUUUAAUAUAAAAUAUUAAAAUAAUAUUAUUAUUUUUUAUAUAAUACAAUCCACUAUACACCAAACAUAAUAUUGCAGUAUAGUUUAAUACAUUAUAAUACAAUGCAACCUAAUACAACAUAACUAAUGCAGUACAAUACAAUACAUUACCGCGCGCUGAACGUAAAGUAACAUCAAAUAAUCCUAUGCAAAUGGAAAUAAAAUCUUAAUUAUUAAUUUGAAAUCUUCUGUACAGCUUCCUAGAAAUUUCUAAUCAUUUAUGAGAUUGUCAUAAAUUUUUCAUAUGGUAAGCCUUAAAUGUACCUGAUUUAUACACAAAAUUUGAUAAGUAAACUUCUUACAAAAUAUAGUAUUUUUCCUUGUUAUUAAUAGUUCAAUUGGCGGAGUAUAAUUAUCAAUUAGUGGACGACAACGGGUGAACCGCUAUGGUUCAAUUGGCAAAUUUCGUGAAAGUAUGCAUGGGUCGUUGGGGCAAAUCACAAAAUAAGUACCGUAAAAGAGCUGAUAAUUCAUAUGAAUAAAUACUCUUUUAGUUCUUACUUUUUUUUUAAAGUUGUUUAAAGUUUCAGUUUAGUCCUUAUUUAAAAAAAAAGUAUCUUAAGACAUCUCUAUUAUUAAAUAUGUUCCAUUCCUACCCUUACUUAUUCUUUUCUUUACAAUAAUACCCUUGCAUAAUAUUUUGGGAUAUUUGAUAGAAAAAUUAUAAUUUAUCAAAUUACCUUAAAAGUAACAUAAAAAUUUACCAAACUUUUAUAUUAUUAUCUUACUUUCAGGAUUAAUUUUGUAAAUUAAUUUUUUAUGAAAUAAUUAUUAAUAAGAUUGUUUUAAGCAUAAUAAAUACUACUUAAAUUGGCUGAUAUUAAUUUAUUUUUAAAUAAUUAUUAGCAAAUUUAUUGCAUGAGUACAAAAAAUAAUAAUUCUUUGAUACUAAUAUUUAUUAGUUAAUUUGCCAACAAACAGUCAUUGGUUGAUUUACUAAAAUUAAUUUUUUUAAAGAUAAAUUAGUUAAUGUAAAGAGUAAUAUUGAAAGGAUACAAUUUUAAAAAUAAAGUAAAAAUUAGUGUAAAAAUGUAAUAUAUCUAACUGUAAGGGUGUUUUAAGGUACUUUUAAAAUAUAGGGACUAGAUAGAUAUUUAAGUCAAAAUUAUGGAGACCAUAUUAACAUUUACCCAUUUGUAUAAUAUCCAUUUACUUACUCAAUACAUAAUUAACUAAUUACGGGGCAUAUUUUUAGUUGUUUCCUUGUUGCUUGUAGAAUGAAAUUCAACGACCAUCAGUUUAAAUUCAUAGCUCAACUACUCAAGUCCUUCACAGUCUAAAUUUGUUUGUAUUAAGUCAGUGAGUAAUGAAUUUCACCGUUAAAAACAUUGAAAACGUUGACAUAAAUAUAGAAUGAUAAUUAUACCCCCUAUAUCUCUUAUUAAUGAUUUACAGUCCAUUUUCCUCCUUUUUUCCCUUUAUUAUCACGUUAAAAAUCUUACAGUUUGGUAAACAAUAACAAUAGACUUCUUUUAGUUCACAAAAACAUGAUAAAAAGCUUCUGAAAUCUGCACCACAAAAAUUAAAAGUUGCUUUUACUUUUUAUUUCGAGAAAAAAUCAAUUCACGUCAUAUGCGAAAGAAACAUGGCUACGAGAUAUUGGCUUGGGCUUGUGUACACCAAGGGGACAAUGAAUGACGCAAGUCACGACGGAUGGCUGUAGUUUUGUCUUCCCGCCAAUCGCGAUUGUACAUCAGUCCAUUUAAAACAAUAGUUGCACCAUAGUUUUGCCCAUCAACUUGGCAUAGGUUUUGCAUUAUUUAUUGUGUAGGGACGAUAUAGAUGUGCAAGACUAUUUCUAGCUUAAAAUCAACGUGCAGGGGAGAUAAAAUAGGUAUACAAUCGGUGGGUGAAGCGAAGAAAUAAGGAUCACAUUAAAAUGUUAAAUAUCAUUCCCAAUCAACAUUAAAUUUAUGGUUGUCAUAUUGUGAUAUUGAAGUUCAUGGACCCAAUUUAUACUCAAAUUAAAAUUAGCUCAAGAGUGGAGGGUAACAUGGUUAUUGUCAGCCAACUUGGGAUAUUUUCCUCAACAAUCCCAGUAAUGAGCAAGCUAGCAGGUGCAGAAGCUGAAAACUUUAGCUGCAGGGAUGCGUGUGUAUGGAAAACAAUUAAGAUAAAUUUUAUUGUAUUAUACAAUUUGUUGAUGUAAUGAAAGACUCUAUGCCAUUUUUAAUAAGUUUAUUCAUCAUAUGUGAAGGUAUCCAAAUCAAUAAGACUUAUAAACACACCCAAAAAAGAUAAGUUGUAAUAAAAUUAUAAUAGACAUGUAGAAAUUUAAAGGUGCAGUGCAUGAUUAGAGUACUUAUAGUAAAAAUUAGGAUAGAGAGAGCUAUAUAUAUACUCAAUUUGUUAAAAUGAAAAUAUUACUAUCAAACAAAAAAAUAUUUUCGUACUUUUACAUUUUUAUUAUGAUUUAGUAAAAUAUUUUCGUAUUAGAAAAAAUUUCUAAUUUCUUAUAGAGGUCAUGACCCAUAUUACAUGAUAAGGUAGUGUAAUCUCACUCGCACAUAAAUGCCGCUCUAAUAUUACAUUGAAGCUCAUGAAUUUAAUUUAUAAUAAAACACCAACUCAAGAAUUACGAGUCAUUUUAAGCUAAUAAUAUUAGCUUACAAAUAUUCUUAGCCAAUGUGUGAUUUUUUCCUUUGCGUAGGACGCGCCAAACCUGGCAAAUGGCAGGUCAUAAUUGAACGGAGAGGGAUAAAGGGACUCUUGAACUUAGAAAAUGGCAAGUCCUCUAUUGUUAGGCCCACCACCUGUGCAUGCCCCCACAAAAUUCUUAGUGCGGAAACAAAUCAUUUUUAUUUAAGUGGCUAGUUAUUUUUCAUUACCAGCUUUAAUUAAUGUCGAAAACGUCAAAACGUCAGAUGAUAUAUUGCCGAUUGGAUAAGUAACCACCAACUCUGUGGCGAGAUUAAGUCACGAGUUACUUAUUUUUAUUAUCUCUGUUUGUCAAUUUUUUUUGCAUAUUCUGUGUAUUUACUAGUUGUGAUGUCUAUGGUUUUGUUAUUUCGCACGUUAAAGUGCUGAUGCAUACUGCAUACAUAUAUUCGAAUGUGGACCAUUAUAAAAACUAAUAAUUCUCUGAAGUCGCUCUCAUCCAAAUGAAUUGGAGUAUCAGAUACAAAUAAUUGUAAUAAGAUACGCAUGAUGAAUACUUUGUAUAAGAUACAAUAAUUUGGUAGUUGAAUUUACACACUGAGUUGAGUUGUGAUCGAUCUUCUCAUAAUUUUUGUGUUAUGUACAUAUUUAUAAUUUGUACCUUUAAGUUUUAAUUACUUUUAUGGUACAUUUACUAAUUGAUCAUCAGAGUAUAUUUGAAUUAAAAUAGAUUAGAAUAAGAAUGAUAAAUAAGAAUAAAAAUAAGUUAUUUACUUUAAUUAUAGGAAUCAGAAAUGAAAUGAUUAUAUUCUCAUUUAUGUGUUUAUCUUAUUAAAAUACCCUUAGUUUAUCAUUGCCAUUAUUUUAUUAUUUAUUAUAAUAAUUUUCCUUAUUAUUAUUAAAAAUUAUUGCUAAUAAUAAUAACCAUAAUAAUUAUAAUAAUCAUAACAAUAAUAUAAUUUUCUCUCUCUCCUUUUGUUUUACGCUAUUUUUUCUGUCUUUUGGCAUUUUUUUGGCUUUUUCUCCUCUUCUUGUCGUUUAUUCUUAUUCUGUUUCUUCUUUGUCUCUUUUUCUUCGUUACUUCUUCUUCUUCUCAUUUUUAAAUUUCUGUUUUCAUUUUUAUUUUUCUCUUCUUUAUUUCUUCCUCUUCUCUGUCUAUUUCAACUUCAAAUGAACAAAUUAAAAACGCCGUCAGAGCUGCAUGACGACCGAGAAAGCGAUUAAGAUGGUACUGCUCGAUCACAUUGGCGACUGCUGUUCUGAUUUGUGCUGAAGCAAUUUUGAUUGCCGGAACAAAAUAAAUUAUAAGUUUCGGGUUGCCGUGACUUUUAAUUAUUUUUUGUAUUUUAUAUUUUUAAUAUUUAAAUGAAAGAUAAAGUUAAAAUAAUGAAAUUUGGAUGGGUACUUUAGGAAAUUUCGGCAAUGAAAGUCUGAUUUAAGAAUUAGAUUCCAUCCAAAUCAUAUUCUCAAUUUGAUGCGGGUCAGAUAGAAGGCUGAAUCACACAUGAAUGCAAGUUCGACACCAAAAAUUAAUUUGAAUAAAUAAACGAAAUAAAAAUAUCGUUAUCAUGCAUGAGUUUGAGAUAAAUGUUAAGAAAUUGACAAUUUGAAUAAAGAAAAUAAGAAAAAAGAGACUCAAUCAUGCAUGAGCUUUGCUUGGAGCUACUUGAAAGACCUUGCACCUAAGCUACUCUAGCUCUCUAUAAAUUCUAACUCUUCUUCACCGAAUGCAACGCGCAUCAAACAGAUAUAUAGCUUUGAAAACAACAAAAUGAAGAUUUCAUUAGCAACAACACUCUCUUUCCUUAUCCUUGCCUUGGCCGCAAACUCUUUGUUGGUCUUGGGCACCUCAUCAGUUCCUGAACCUCUCCUUGAUGUCAACGGCAACAAGGUCGAAUCCACCCUUCAGUACUACAUAGUCUCAGCCAUCUGGGGAGCUGGCGGUGGUGGAGUUAGCCUACACGGUGGCAGAAACGGAUAUUGUCCGCUGGACGUUAUCCAAUUACCUUCUGAUACGCAAAAUGGAAUCAAAUUAACACUGUCACCGUAUAACAAUUCUACAAUUGUCCGAGAAUCCACUGAUCUCAACUUGAGAUUCUCAGUGUUGCUAUCU
rnacentral:lncRNA from 1 species